AGGAACAGAGAAGAAAAAGACCUAGGAUCUCAUGACUGAACUUGAAUUCUUAAAAGGACUGAGCAGGGGGAGGAACAUUUAAGCUGAUGGAAGUGGAAGUGGAAGUUGCUGUACAUUGGCAGCAAGGCCUCCGAGUUAGCUUUUGAAUGCAGUUAACUGGUUUCUCUUAACUGUGGAAUUCAUUGAAAAGUCAGACUCCGAGUGGUCGUUCCAGGAUAUCUUGAAAAGCCCAGGUUAAACCCAUCCAGAGUAAUGGCUGCGGCCUUACCCAGGACCCUGGGGGAGUUGCAGCUGUAUAGAAUAUUACAAAAAGCCAAUCUACUUUCUUAUUUUGAUGCCUUUAUCCAACAAGGUGGUGAUGAUGUCCAGCAACUCUGUGAAGCAGGAGAAGAGGAGUUUUUGGAAAUCAUGGCACUCGUGGGCAUGGCUAGCAAGCCC
rnacentral:lncRNA from 1 species